rnacentral:rRNA from 1 species
UACGUAGGGGCCGAGCGUUGUCCGGAGUUAUUGGGCGUAAAGCGCGCGCAGGCGGCUUCGCGCGCCCGACGUGAAAGCCCCCGGCUUAACCGGGGAGAGUCGUUGGGGACGGCGGAGCUUGAGGGCGGGAGAGGUCGGUGGAAUUCCCGGUGUAGUGGUGAAAUGCGUAGAGAUCGGGAGGAACACCUGUGGCGAAGGCGGCCGACUGGGCCGACCCUGACGCUGAGGCGGCGAAGGCGUGGGGA